AAUCCAAGAAAUACUUAGCUAAGUUCAAAUUCUAACUUUUGGAAGACUGUGAGGAAAUGCACCAUACACUGGGCUGGGCUGCUCUGUGCAAAGCAGUGUCACUGCUGAGCCCUGCCCCUUCUGCUUCUCUUCCUGGGGCACAAAGUGGCUCAGUGAGGCCACUAAUUCUGUCUUCCUCUUCCCAGGUCCUUUGGGAAGGGGGAGUAAAAAAGCACCAUGUCACUCCACAAAGCAUGGCCAAAUAAGUUUUCCAAGGAAGCCACUUUGGUGUUUGCUUCCCAGUCCAGUGUGUCAGAACAAGCCUGAAAUGGUGGCAGUGUGCUCCUCUCCUCCUCUGUGGCACACAGAAAGGAGAGCUGAGGGGAUAAAUUACUCUUUAGUUUCUGGCAGUGAGCAAAGCCUGCAUCUGAAUACUCAGCAUUUUCUCAGACAACACGGACUUCUAUCAACAGUGCAGCUGGCAGCCCCUGAUUCCCCAGGCAUGUCAGUCCAUGUGACCUUGCAGGCUCACAAAGAAUUCUGUCAGUGAGAGCUGAGUCGGAUGUUGUGCAAUUGAUCUGCUACUCUAUGGUGCACCAGAAAGCUGAAAAUCUGAGAUUUACCUGUGCUGAUUUACAUGACCUCUAGUCAGUAUCUAUCAAAAAAACCUGCCAGUUGCCCCUUCAUCUGGAUGAAACCCAAGCAGCCAAAAGGAA